rnacentral:lncRNA from 1 species
GGUGAUUUGCUGGCCAGCCGCUCCGCGUGUCCACUCCUCUCCCAAUCUGUGUUGGCUGCCAUCCUAUGCACCUACACCUCCCCGCCGACCAACAACCCUGAGCAGGCGAGCUCCCCCACGGCCGCUGAGGGCCACGCGGCGACGCCUUGUGCCCGGUGGCCGUGCACUGCAGCGCUAGUGCGGUUUUGCCUCCCCAGCGCCUACGUCUACACCGUGCCGCGCAGCCCACGGCCCUGCCGCCAUGCUCCUGCAUCUCCGCCUCCCUUCCUAGUUCCUACAUGUUUUGGAUCAGAUGCAGUGAUGAAUCCUAGCUAUGAUCCAACACGCAAAGUUGCAUGUGUUGAGCUAGGAACUGAAUACUUGAUGGUGCAUGUUCAUUUUCCAUUGGCAAAAUAUGAAGAAUUGAUCAGGCCAUACAAAGGCUACAAAAUUAUUAGCAAUGUCGUAGGACUUGAUAUUGCGUGGCCAGCAAUUUUUGUUGACAAGAUAAAUGGAUCAUGAUCUGGGGCAAUAUGGUUACUGCAAGGUGGACAACUGUCAUCUAAAGAUCCCUUGUGAAUAUGAUGAUGACUGUAAUGUGGAAGAUGGUGGCAAUGAUAGUGGCAACUUCAGAUGCAUGUUUUUUUUUCUAUAGUUUAGAUUACAUUUGUGCAUGAUGUUCUGAAUAAAAUUUAAUGUCAUGACUUAUGAGGAUGAUUUUCCAUGUAAUACAAAAAAUUCUCUUUAAUUACAAUUAGUUUUAUGAAUGACUUGGUU